UGAAUCAUCCAUAACACCUGGUGCAAAGGAACCAGCAGUUUCAUGCAGAAGCUACUGAAGGGGAUGUCUUCAUUUUCCUCCAUGCAGGUUCUCUGCUGAGCUGAUUGGUAAAAUCAGGGUUUGACAGACAGACAGUUAUGCUUUUUGAUGCUGGAGCAUGAGGAACAGCUUUCCUGACACCUGCAGAGGGAAUCAUGUAGAAGAAGAGCACAUAUUUCACAGCUGGAUGUUGGCCAAAGUACCAAGGUUUUCCAUGAUCCUCAGGACAAGAAAGCAGUGCAGGUGCAAGUUCAAGCUGUUGAAGGAGCACCUCUUCACUUGGUUGUAUUUCUCAGUGUAGCUUUUAAAUCAAGAGAUUUGACUGCAACAGAAAACUUCCUUGGACAGUUUCUGGAAAUGAAGAAAAAAAAUCUAACAUUUCUGUGAGUCUGCAAGUUCUCUGUAGCCAGGCGCCUCAAUGCAGUCAAUUGGUAGAGCUCCAUGGACCUCAACACAACCAAACCCUUCAGGGAUGGUGGCUGUCCCUCAGCCACCAAGAUAACUCAGCAGUCAUGGCUGCUAUAUGCCACCACUCAGGUCAGUAGCAAAAUGUGAUCUAUACAUAGAUCACACUGUGGAAGCUGAAAAGUCUUGUAUAAUAACUGCUGUCCUUUCCCGACAAUGCAGGUUAUGAGGCCUUGGGGCAAAACGCUGCUGUGCACUGUGGCAGCAAAGUGGUGAUGUUUAUGGUUGACGUCAGCCCAAGAAGUGUGGGUGAUGCUCACUCCUCUCAGCUGAGGGAGAAGCAAAGGAGGCUGUUCAGAUGUUCCUGGAUGAGAUUACAGACCCUAAUGCUCAACAACUGCCACUGCGGUUAGCCAAAACGUGUGGCCAUCUGCUCUGGGAUUUUGUGCCUGUAGACAAGGAGUUCUGCCAGCUUCAGGAGAACUCAGGCUUUCCUCCAAAGCAGUAAAUUUGGAGCAGGGGGAGAAAGAAAAAUGCUCAAUGUUGCAGGUUAGAGCACAUCAUCCCAGUAGACACAAGCAAAGUGCAGUAAGAUGGGUGGUGGUUACAUGUCCCAUUGCUUCCCACCCCAGUAUCACCCCCCAAGUCAGUGCUGACAAGCUGUCAGGCUGUUCCUCUCCUGAACAGGACACAACUUGUCAGAGGCAGCAGAAGCGCUUGCUUGCCUCUUUGCAGAGCAGGGAAUCAUCCCUGUGUUUAGACUUUUUAUAUUUUUCACCUUAUUUCUGUAUUUUCUUUUUUCUUUUCUCUUCCCGCUCCCUGCCCCCAGGCUCUCCCAGAGGAAGGUGCGGAGGCUCAUCAUCUCAGAGGCAAAAUUUCAACUCCAGAAGGUUGGAUCCCAUCCAAAUUUGGCCAAAACACACUGAACUCCCUGCCAUAGUCUGCUGAGCUCUCCAUGUCAUUUAACAGCUAGGAUCAACUAAUAAAGUGCAAGAUGUAGAAAUGUCAUUUAGAGUUACCUACCCGUAACUAAAUAACUUUGUAAUGAAUGAAAGGCCAUUUUGAGCUGAUGUUUUAAAGACUAACUUCAUCUCCAUAAAGAAAGAAAUAUGACUCAGAGACAGUCUGCAUGUGGCAUUAACAAACUCUCUUUGUGUUUCUGUAGGAAAGACUGACACCAAGUGAGUUGUGCACUUGCGUCAUCUGCACUUUAUUUUGCUUUAAUACAGAUGACUCCACCUCAAAAUAUUCUUAGGGUUUUAGGUCUGCUUGCACAGAGCUGGUGGGCCCCUUCUCCAUGGAAUAGAGAGCUGGAAAAGUGUUUCCAAAAAAAUUUGUCAUAUGUUAACUACAACUAUAGAACAAGAACAGUACCUGGUUUAGUAAUACAACAGUAAUUAAUGUUGACUGUUCGUGAAGGAAAACUCAGUAUUGCCAGAAGAAAUGAUUUACACAUCUCUAUAUGACACUGUUUUUCCAUUCACCUUUUUUGGAGCAUUUCCUCUAAAAGAUGUUAAGCCCAUACAUUACUAUUUAAAGAGCCUAAUUCAACCCAGGCAAUAAUGAUCCAUAAAUAUUCAUGAUUUUGUUUUAACAUUAAAAUAACAUCUGUU